GGUAGCCAUCUUCGUGCAUAGGCAAACUUAUUGUAGCUAGACUGUACAAAGUAUAUCAAGAUAUGCCAAAUAUUGAGCUUAACUUCACCUGUUUGAGAGACGGUGCACAUCAUGGAGACAAUCUGACUGGUACAGAGAAAUGAAGAGACAACAUUUUCUUUCCAAAUCUGAGUGGAGAUACUCAGAGUUUCUUCUCAAAUGUACACUGAUAAAUACUCAACUGAAGAUUCAACUGAAAUCCUCUAUGGGUCUCCAGACUCCCCCAUUCUGGAACUCUUCCCUGCAAAUUCCAGCUGCCUAAACUCCCUUCCAUCUCUCAGUUUCUCUAUAACUGAGGAACACCGUCAGGCUCCAGCUGGAUUUUCCUUCCUUGUGCACUGAUCUGGAAAGUCUUUCACAUCAGAUAGAAGAGGCCCUGGUUAGCAGCUUCAGAUGAUGGAUACAUAAAAAUGGGAGAGAGAAAACAUAUAAGAGUGACUAAUUGUUGAGUUUCCAGGGCUCAAACCAAUCUUGAAUUGGAAUUUCAAGACAUAAAAACCACUGCAGGAACCUGCUGGAGAAACGGCCUCUGGUAUCUCUAUCUGAAAUAUGAUUAUCUUAAGUUCGCAAAGCAUUGUGUCUGCAGUGUGAGUUUGAAAACAACAAUGUUAAGGCAACUUCGCAGCUUCUUAAUCAAGCCCUUCUCCAUCUCUCCGUGUGGUUUUUGGGGUGGUGGAGGUGGAGCCAAAAAAGAGAGGGCAGUUUCCCAGGGCUGAAGAUGCUACCAUGACUCAUAGGAUCUAUGCAAACCCUGUGAGUGAAUUCUGAGGAAGAAGAAUGAGUAAUAUUUUGAUUUUAUUACUGAUGGUAAUAAGAUAGUAUCAUCAGUGUGGUAUAUUCUGAUUACUGAAUUCUAUUCCCUAUUUUCUUCCUGUGGCCAAAUAAAAUUUGUGUGUGUAAGCUAUGAUAUUUAGUGUUGUUAUCUGAUGAGACAGGUUUAGUGGAAAAGUUCAUUUUAAAUAAACAUUAAAAUUGUUUCAGCCUCA
rnacentral:lncRNA from 1 species